rnacentral:rRNA from 1 species
GCGCGUGCGCCGCUYGGGCUAACGAACACCGGCGCGGAAGGCGCCAAGGAAAACAUAAACGAAGCGUUCGCCCCCUCGCACCGCGCCCCGUGCGCGGUGCGCGCUCGGGCGGGGGUGGCCGGACGCCUCUUGAACUUUAGAACGACUCUCGGCAACGGAUAUCUCGGCUCUCGCAUCGAUGAAGAACGUAGCGAAAUGCGAUACUUGGUGUGAAUUGCAGAAUCCCGUGAACCAUCGAGUCUUUGAACGCAAGUUGCGCCCGAAGCCUUCGGGCCGAGGGCACGCCUGCCUGGUCGCCACGAAUCCCGUCGCCCCCCUCCCUCGUGCUCCCUAACCGGGUCCGACGGCCGAGGGCGGUGCGGAGAUUGCCUCCCGUGCGCCCCUGGCGCGCGGCCGGCUUGAAUGCGAUCCCUCAGGCGGCGCCCGUCGCGACAAGUGGUGGAUGACUCCUCAGCUGUCCUGUCGCGCUCCGUGGCGUCGUCCUGACGGGCAUCACGAACGACCCGAGCGCAUCCGUGCGCACCGAUUGCGGCCCCAGGUCAGGCGGGAUUACCCG